rnacentral:rRNA from 1 species
GAGGAAUAUUGGUCAAUGGACGGAAGUCUGAACCAGCCAUGCCGCGUGAAGGAAGACGGCCCUACGGGUUGUAAACUUCUUUUAUACGGGGAUAAACCUAUUCUUGCGAGAGUAGCUGAAGGUACCGUAUGAAUAAGCAUCGGCUAACUCCGUGCCAGCAGCCGCGGUAAUACGGAGGAUGCGAGCGUUAUCCGGAUUUAUUGGGUUUAAAGGGUGCGUAGGCGGACAAAUAAGUUAGUGGUGAAAUCACUCAGCUUAACUGAGUGAUUGCCAUUGAUACUGUUAGUCUAGAAUGUAAAUGGAGUAGGCGGAAUGAAUCAUGUAGAGGUGACAUUCAUAGAUAUGAUUCAGAACACCGAUCGCGAAGGCAGCUUGCUAAGAUACAAUUGACGCUGAGGCACGAAAGCGUGGGUAGCAAAC